rnacentral:rRNA from 1 species
AAUAGAUACCCGGUAGUCCAUACCGUAAACGUUGGCACUAGGUGUGGGGUCCAUUCCACGGAUUCCGUGCCGCAGCAAACGCAUUAAGUGCCCCGCCUGGGGAGUACGGCCGCAAGGCUAAAACUCAAAGAAAUUGACGGGGGCCCGCACAAGCGGCGGAGCAUGCGGAUUAAUUCGAUGCAACGCGAAGAACCUUACCAAGGCUUGACAUACACCGGAAACGUGCAGAGAUGUGCGCCCCGCAAGGUCGGUGUACAGGUGGUGCAUGGUUGUCGUCAGCUCGUGUCGUGAGAUGUUGGGUUAAGUCCCGCAACGAGCGCAACCCUCGUCCCAUGUUGCCAGCGGGUUAUGCCGGGGACUCAUGGGAGACUGCCGGGGUCAACUCGGAGGAAGGUGGGGAUGACGUCAAAUCAUCAUGCCCCUUAUGUCUUGGGCUUCACGCAUGCUACAAUGGCCGGUACAAAGGGCUGCGAAACCGCGAGGUGGAGCGAACCCCAAAAAGCCGGUCUCAGUUCGGAUUGGGGUCUGCAACUCGACCCA